CAGUCGCCGCGGUAAUACGAGGGGGGCAAGCGUUGUUCGGAAUUAUUGGGCGUAAAGGGUGCGUAGGCGGUUUGAUAAGUCUGAUGUGAAAUCUCUGGGCUCAACCCAGAGUCUGCAUUAGAAACUGUCGGGCUUGAGUAUGGGAGAGGUGAGUGGAAUUUCCGGUGUAGCGGUGAAAUGCGUAGAUAUCGGAAGGAACACCUGUGGCGAAAGCGGCUCACUGGACCAUAACUGACGCUGAUGCACGAAAGCUAGGGGAGCAAACAGGAUUAGAUACCCGCGUAGUCCCUGUCUCUUAUAC
rnacentral:rRNA from 1 species